AGAGUGAACGCUGGCGGCAGGCCUAACACAUGCAAGUCGAGCGGCAGCACAGUCGUAGCAAUACGAUGGGUGGCGAGCGGCGGACGGGUGAGGAGUGCAUCGGAAUCUACCUUGUUGUGGGGGAUAACGUAGGGAAACUUACGCUAAUACCGCACGAGACCGUAAGGUGAAAGCGGGGGACCUGUGAGGGCCUCGCGCGACAAGAUGAGCCGAUGCCGGAUUAGCUAGUUGGUGGGGUAAAGGCCCACCAAGGCGACGAUCCGUAGCUGGUCUGAGAGGAUGAUCAGCCACACUGGAACUGAGACACGGUCCAGACUCCUACGGGAGCAGCAGUGGGGAAUAUUGGACAAGUGGGG
rnacentral:rRNA from 1 species